rnacentral:misc_RNA from 1 species
AUUCAUCAAGUACUUCAAUAGUUCAUUUCUUCCUUUCCAUUCAUGGUAUUUUCAUACCCUCCUUAACAGAAAACAGUAAAACACUAGUAACUGUGAAAAAACACCAAUAUUCAGAUUGUUUGACACAAAAUAAGCCCUAGAAGUGGAACUCUGGAUGGAAAAUACAAAUUCAAUAUUCAAAACUAAUGCAAGGUGAGUUUUGAAAUGGAGGUGUAACAAGGACAGCAAAUUGAACUCCAAAUUCAUAUUCAAAGCCACAGAGACAUUAGCAUUUGAUGGUCCAUUGUACCCUUUCAGGAUUGGCUGCAGCUAUUGAAGAUGAGCCAAUAAUUUUCCUCUGGACUUGUUCACAGCUGUAUAGGCUGUUCAUUUCCAAGUAGUUCAUCUACCUCUAUAUCCAUGUCCUAUAGCACCUGAAUAUAUUUCCAGUCUGAACUAUUUCUGGAACUCCGGUGACCCGAUGUAGACAUGAGGAAUGUGAGACACUUUAUGCCAGCCCUUUCUACCUUUCUCCUGCUUGCACCAGCUCUCCAGAUUAGGACAAUCUUGAAUGGACAGGUGCUGGAGUUUACUAAGAUGUUUCAGUCCAUCUGGCAAGGAAGUCAAAUUUUUGCAAUCUGAAAUUGCCAGUGAUCUUAAUGAAGAAAGUUUAUCCACCCACCCUGGCAAAUCUUUCAGACCAUGACAGCUACGAAUUUCCAAAGUUUGCAAUGUUGAGACAUAUUGCAGCCCAUCUGGUAGAGAAUCCAACUUAGGACAACAUAAAAUGCUCAAACUCCUGAGAGCUGAAAGAUUUUUCCAUUCGUUAGGCAAAGAAGCCAAAUUUGGGCAA